CGCAAAAUCAAGGAUUGGCAAUUAUCACUUGUUUAACAAUAAAAUAUUAACAAAUGCAUCAACCAUCUCCAUGUGUAAACUUUUCAAUUCAAAUACACAAAGUUAAAAAAAAAAUGAAAACACAGUGUUAUAUGGCAACUGACAGUGAUGAUCGUUUAAAAAAACACAACAUUAUAUUUUGAAAUUGUUUAAAUUCUCAUAAUUAUGGGGGGAAAUCCGAUAAGUAAAAUUCGUAGAUGGCGGUUUCGCAAGAACAUAUUUGACUAAUUAUGCACAAUCUGAUGUUCUUUUAUAAUACACAAUUGUUGAUGGAUGUCUACAACGUAAACGUUAUUCAUGAAAUAACA
rnacentral:lncRNA from 1 species